CCGCAACCCCUAUUGUUAGUUGCCAGUCAUUCAGUUGGGCACUCGUAGCGAGACGUGCCGGUAAUAAACCGGAGGAAGGUGGGAUGACGUCAAAUCAUCAUCGCCCCUUAUGACCUGGGCUACACACGUGCUACAAUGGUUGGUACAACGGAGUUGCGAGUCGGUGACGGCGAGCUAAUCCUCUUAAAGCCAAUCUCAGUUCGGAGUUGUAGGCCGCAACUCCGCCUACAUGAAGUCGGAAUCGCUAGUAAUCGCGGAUCAGCACGCCGCGGUGAAUACGUUCCCGGGCCUU
rnacentral:rRNA from 1 species